rnacentral:lncRNA from 1 species
CUUCCGCACAUGUUCCCAAUCGCAAUUGGAAUUUCAUUUGUUAGUUUUUCGGGUUCUUCGAUGAGAUAUGAUUUUAUGCGCAGGUCACUCGCCGCUCUCGAGAAGGCGAUGGGUGCGUGGUGAAUUUCCGGUGUUGGCGGCGCGGUGCUGCCACCAACGGCUCGACGGGGCUCAGUGUUUCUGUGUGUCCUUGGAUUAUGUAUCCACUGGAUCACUUUCCCGUUGUUUCCACACUGCAAAAACAUUUUCUUCGUCGCGUUGUAGCCAAGGAAUUGUGAUCGACUUCCGCUGUGGAUUUAGACUAGGAGUUACCCUGGAAAUGGGAACUACAAGGAGCUUCAUGCUGCCGCGUGACUGUCAACAUCUCUUGAACGUCUGGCUCUCCACACUUUUUAAUUCCAUUGUACGUCUCUGACUAGGUCUAGCCAGCAAUAACGAAACCAUGUAGAGUGACAAGUUUGAAGAAGUCAUACGCAGCGGUCUACCCUGCUGAAAGUCGUAAAUCCUGAGAGGCAACACGAAAUGCAAAAGUCUUGUUGGUCUAGUGAUUGUUGCAAGAAAAACUGAAGUUUCAAGUGAUGCUGCUGAGAGGAGUCGUAGAAGAGUAGCUGCAGAAAGGCGUUAGUUUUUUAUUACUAAACUGUGUCUGGCGUUAGACUCCCAUGUUAUUGGUUCCUCAGUUUGUCUGAGAUACCAGGCUCCAGGACUACAGUUCGACUUGGAAACAAGGAAUGGAGGGUAAGCAGUGGCACAGUGGUGGUAAAUAGGUACUAAAACAGACGAAAUGGUCCACCACUUCGAUCCGCGAGUGCUCAGUCACAAAUGCGUCCGUCGUCGGCGUUUUUUGCCGGAGGUAGGGAUGUCGGACACCCCCAGAAGUCACAGUAUGCUUCAACUCAUAGUUCUAAGAGGGAUGUGUCACUCGGAGACACUUUCUGCUGCGGGCUGGAAACGUCCUACGAUUUGUGUGGAACUGAACCAUUCCAAUCACGCAAACACUUCAGUACCCGAGGAAAACAAUUCCAGGGGCACGCGCGAGGAAAAGUCAUG